GNANGGUGCAAGCGUUAUCCGGACUUACUGGGUGUAAAGGGAGCGUAGACGGUNGUGUAAGNCNGAUGUGAAAGCCCGGGGCUCAACCCCGGGACUGCAUNGGAAACUANGUAACUAGAGUGUCGGAGAGGUAAGCGGAAUNCCUAGUGUAGCGGUGAAAUGCGUAGAUAUUAGGAGGAACACCAGUGGCGAGGGCGGCUUACUGGACGAUCACUGACGUUGAGGCUCGAAAGCGUGGGGAGCAAACAGGAUUAGAUACCCUGGUAGUCCACGCCGUAAACGAUGACUACUAGGUGUCGGGGAGCAAAGCUCUUCGGUGCCGCAGCAAACGCAAUAAGUAGUCCACCUGGGGAGU
rnacentral:rRNA from 1 species